UGAGCUCCUCCAGUUCAUGCAUGGGUGUUUAAAGUUUCAAGUGAUUCCAGUUAAAUAUUCUGUUUUCAGACAAAUUGGUGGGGACUGUCCAAUGAAGACAUCUGCCCUGUUCCACUGAAGUCCCUGCAAUUACCCUUCUCUGACAGCACAUGGAUUCACCAUUUGCCGUUCUGCUCUAGAGGGAGUACAAUGAAAAUUGCUAAUGUGUUUGCAAGAAAUUAUUAAAAACCUAGAAGACUAUCCAGAAACCAAAAGAUGAAGGAGAAUGAGUGGAGCCAUUAGUGACUGGACAGUGGCAUACAGCAAACGAUGCCUAUGCAGAAGUACUCUGUGCAAAAGAAGGAUCCCAAUCUUACUCAUGCCGGAUGGAGGUGAGAGCAGCAACCCACGGCGGUGCUGGGGAAGCCUUCCCUGCAAAUCCGCCCCUCGUGCUAACACGGUCUGUCGGGAGACCCGUGCCUGUCGCAGCGCCACCUGGCGGGCUGCGCGCCGGCCGCGGAGAUGCGCGGGCACUUGCAAUUGAUCGCGCAUGUGCCGGACCUUGACAACAACGCCGCCGGUAUUGGUGGAGCAGGAGAGCGGCGUGUUGCAAAACUGCUUUGGAAAUGUGGCGAGGACGUCUUAGCUGAAACGGGUCUGGAUUGACUUUUUUUGUUUGUUGCUUAAUUGUUUUCGGGCGGGGGAAAGGUCUCUUUUUCAGGGAAGAGCUGGGAGCCAGGGCGACUCGUCGCUGAGGGUUUGGUUUUUGCACAACGGGAGCGGAGCACGUGCCGGGUGCAGAGGUGGUGCCGGGUGCAGGGGUGGUGCCGGGUGCAGACGCGGCGCCGGGCGCCACCGCCCGCCUCCCUGGCGACGCCGAUGCCGCCGCCGCCGCCGCCGGGACCGAGCCGCCGCGCGGGUGAGUCGCGGGGCUGGGGCCGCUU
rnacentral:lncRNA from 1 species